CCUACGGGUCGCAGCAGUGAGGAAUAUUGCGCAAUGGGGGCAACCCUGACGCAGCAACGCCGCGUGUGGGAAGAAGGCUUUCGGGUUGUAAACCACUUUUGCCCGGGACGAAAGGGGGGGCCUGAAUAAGGUCACCCGAUGCCGGUACCGGGAGAAUAAGCAACGGCUAACUCUGUGCCAGCAGCCGCGGUAAGACAGAGGUGGCAAGCGUUGUUCGGAGUUACUGGGCGUAAAGAGUCUGUAGGUGGUCUGUCAAGUCUUUGGUGAAAGGCCGUGGCUUAACCAUGGGAAUGCCAAAGAGACUGGCAGGCUGGAGGCUGGGAGAGGGAAGCGGAAUUUCUGGUGUAGCGGUGAAAUGCGUAGAUAUCAGAAGGAAGGCCGGUGGCGAAGGCGGCUUCCUGGAACAGACCUGACACUGAGAGACGAAAGCGUGGGGAGCAAACAGGAUUAGAUACCCCUGUAGUC
rnacentral:rRNA from 1 species